CCAAUUUUUAGCGGACCUGAUCUUUGGUCAUGGUCUCGCGAAAACUUGUAUUUAAAACCCCACUCUUUAUAAAUAUUUGAAAUCAUUUAAUUAUAAUAAUAAAUAAAGA
rnacentral:misc_RNA from 1 species